GACGAACGCUGGCGGCGUGCCUAAUACAUGCAAGUCGAGCGGACUUUCAAGAAGCUUGCUUUUUGAAAGUUAGCGGCGGACGGGUGAGUAACACGUGGGCAACCUGCCUGCAAGACGGGGAUAACUCCGGGAAACCGGGGCUAAUACCGGAUAAUAUCUUCCUUCGCAUGAAGGAAGGUUGAAAGGCGGCGCAAGCUGCCGCUUGCAGAUGGGCCCGCGGCGCAUUAGCUAGUUGGUGAGGUAACGGCUCACCAAGGCGACGAUGCGUAGCCGGCCUGAGGGGGUGAUCGGCCACACUGGGAAUGAGACACGGCCCAGACUCCUUCGGGAGGCAGCAGUAGGGAAUCUUCCGCAAUGGACGAAAGUCUGACGGAGCAACGCCGCGUGAGCGAAGAAGGUCUUCGGAUCGUAAAGCUCUGUUGUCAGGGAAGAAAAAGUACCGUUCGAACAGGGCGGUACCUUGACGGUACCUGACCAGAAAGCCACGGCUAACUACGUG
rnacentral:rRNA from 1 species